rnacentral:rRNA from 1 species
UGAUGACGAGACGCUAAGGCGUUGUAGCAGUGUAUGUCAGACUUCCAAGAAAAGCUCGCAAUGUCACAAAUGAAAAAUGCCUGUACCAUAACCGACACAGGUGGGUAGGUAGAGUAUACUAAGGGGCGCGAGAUAACUCUCUCUAAGGAACUCGGCAAAAUGACUCCGUAACUUCGGGAGAAGGAGUGCCUUAUUUAUAAGGUUGCAAUAACAAGAUCCAAGCAACUGUUUAUCAAAAACACAGGUCUCCGCUAAGUCGUAAGACGAUGUAUGGGGGCUGACGCCUGCCCAGUGCCAGAAGGUUAAAGAAGUUGGUUAGUGUAUGCGAAGCUGAUGACUGAAGCCCUGGUGAACGGCGGCCGUAACAAUAACGGUCCUAAGGUAGCGAAAUUCCUUGUCGGGUAAGUUCCGACCCGCACGAAAGGCGUAAUGAUUUGGAUACUGUCUCGGAGAGAGGCUCGGUGAAAUAGACUUGUCUGUGAAGAUGCGGACUACCUGCACCAGGACAGAAAGACCCUAUGAAGCUUUACUGUAACUUGAAAUUGGAAUUGGACUUUGCUUGCGCAGUAUAGGUGGGAAGCGUUGAAAAUAUUCUUGCGGGAGUAUUGGAGCUAUCAGUGAGAUACCACUCUUGUAAUGUUAGAUUUCUAACUUUGAACCAUAAUCUGGUCAAAGAACAGUUUCAGGUGGGCAGUUUGACUGGGGCGGUCGCCUCCCAAAUGGUAACGGAGGCGUACAAAGGUUUCCUCUGAACGGAUAGAAAUCGUAUCUAGAGUGUAAAGGCAUAAGGAAGCUUGACUGUGAGACCUACAAGUCGAGCAGGGACGAAAGUCGGUCUUAGUGAUCUGACGGUACUGAGUGGAAAGGCCGUCACUCAACGGAUAAAAGUUACUCUAGGAUAACAGGCUGAUCUCCCCCAAGAGUUCACAUCGACGGGGAGGUUUGGCACCUCGAUGUCGGCUCAUCGCAUCCUGGGGCGGUAGUACGUCCCAAGGGUUGGGCUGUUCGCCCAUGAAAGCGGUACGCGAGCUGGGUUCAGAACGUCGUGAGACAGUUCGGUCCAUAUCCGGUGUAGGCGCUAGAAUAUUGAGAGGAGCCUUCUUUAGUACGAGAGGACCGAGAAGGACACACCGCUGGUGUACCAGUUAUCGUGCCAACGGUAAACGCUGGGUAGCUAUGUGUGGAGUGGAUAACCGCUGAAAGCAUCUAAGUGGGAAGCCCACCUCGAGAUGAGUAUUCUC